rnacentral:tRNA from 1 species
UUCUAAAUAAUUUAUAAAAAUAUCUACUUUGGAUGUAGAAAAUUCUUCUAUAAA